rnacentral:misc_RNA from 1 species
GGCCUGGAUGUUCACAACCCUUUGUUGUCCGACUCUGUUGCCUCCGGGGCGACCCUGCCUCCGGGCGGGGGCCCCGGGUGGACAUCUCAAACUCUUGCGUAACUUUGCAGUCUGAGUAAAUUUAAUUAAUAAAUUAAAACUUUCAACAACGGAUCUCUUGGUUCUGGCAUCGAUGAAGAACGCAGCGAAAUGCGAUAAGUAAUGUGAAUUGCAGAAUUCAGUGAAUCAUCGAAUCUUUGAACGCACAUUGCGCCCCCUGGUAUUCCGGGGGGCAUGCCUGUUCGAGCGUCAUUUCACCACUCAAGCCUCGCUUGGUAUUGGGCGACGCGGUCCGCCGCGCGCCUCAAAUCGACCGGCUGGGUCUUUCGUCCCCUCAGCGUUGUGGAAACUAUUCGCUAAAGGGUGCCGCGGGAGGCCACGCCGUAAAACAACCCCAUUUCUAAGGUUGACCUCGGAUCAGGUAGGGAUACCCGCUGAACUUAAGCAUAUCAAAAGUCGGAGGAAGUAGGAAUACCCGCUGAAAUUAAGCAUAUCAAUAAGUCGGA